CACGUAGGGUGCAAGCGUUGUCCGGAAUCAUUGGGCGUAAAGAGCUCGUAGGCGGCUUAGUGAGUCGGGUGUGAAAACCCCAGGCUCAACCUGGGGACGCCACCCGAUACUGCUAUAGCUAGAGUCCAGUAGGGGAGUGUGGAAUUCCCAGUGUAGCGGUGAAAUGCGCAGAUAUUGGGAGGAACACCAGCGGCGAAGGCGGCACUCUGGGCUGGUACUGACGCUGAGGAGCGAAAGCGUGGGUAGCGAACAGG
rnacentral:rRNA from 1 species